rnacentral:tRNA from 1 species
GCCCUUGUAGUGUAGUUAGGCCAUCAUGGGGGACUGUCAUUGAAAAGCAGACCUCCUUCGACCCGGGUUCAAAUCCCGGCGAGGGCG